CCUACGGGAGGCAGCAGUGGGGACUAUUGGACAAUGGGGGCAACCCUGAUCCAGCCAUGCCGCGUGUGUGAAGAAGGCCCUCGGGUUGUAAAGCACUUUCAGUGAGGAAGAACGCCUGGUGGUUAAUACCCAUCAGGAAAGACAUCACUCACAGAAGAAGCACCGGCUAACUCCGUGCCAGCAGCCGCGGUAAUACGGAGGGUGCGAGCGUUAAUCGGAAUUACUGGGCGUAAAGCGCGCGUAGGUGGCUUGAUAAGCCGGUUGUGAAAGCCCCGGGCUCAACCUGGGAACGGCAUCCGGAACUGUCAAGCUAGAGUGCAGGAGAGGAAGGUAGAAUUCCCGGUGUAGCGGUGAAAUGCGUAGAGAUCGGGAGGAAUACCAGUGGCGAAGGCGGCCUUCUGGACUGACACUGACACUGAGGUGCGAAAGCGUGGGUAGCAAACAGGAUUAGAUACCCUGGUAGUC
rnacentral:rRNA from 1 species